rnacentral:rRNA from 1 species
UACGGAGGUGGCAAGCGUUGUUCGGAAUUACUGGGCGUAAAGGGCGCGUAGGCGGCCUGCUCAGUCGGACGUGAAAGCCCCAGGCUUAACCUGGGAACUGCGUCCGAUACUGGCAGGCUUGGAUUCGGGAGAGGGAUGUGGAAUUCCAGGUGUAGCGGUGAAAUGCGUAGAUAUCUGGAGGAACACCGGUGGCGAAGGCGGCAUCCUGGACCGAGAUCGACGCUGAGGCGCGAAAGCUAGGGGAGCAAACGGG